rnacentral:rRNA from 1 species
CACAUGCAAGUCGAGGGGUAUAGUUCUUCGGGACUAGAGACCGGCGCACGGGUGCGUAACGCGUAUGCAAUCUACCUUGUACAGAGGGAUAGCCCAGAGAAAUUUGGAUUAAUACCUCAUAGUGUUAUUGAAUGGCAUCAUUUAAUAACUAAAGUUCUAACGGUACAAGAUGAGCAUGCGUCCCAUUAGUUAGUUGGUAAGGUAACGGCUUACCAAGACAAUGAUGGGUAGGGGUCCUGAGAGGGAGAUCCCCCACACUGGUACUGAGACACGGACCAGACUCCUACGGGAGGCAGCAGUGAGGAAUAUUGGACAAUGGGCGCAAGCCUGAUCCAGCCAUGCCGCGUGCAGGAUGACUGCCCUAUGGGUUGUAAACUGCUUUUAUACAGGAAGAAACACUGCUACGUGUAGCAGCUUGACGGUACUGUAGGAAUAAGGAUCGGCUAACUCCGUGCCAGCAGCCGCGGUAAUACGGAGGAUCCAAGCGUUAUCCGGAAUCAUUGGGUUUAAAGGGUCCGUAGGCGGCCUUAUAAGUCAGUGGUGAAAUCUCCUAGCUCAACUAGGAAACUGCCAUUGAUACUGUAGGGCUUGAAUUUUUAGGAAGUAACUAGAAUAUGUAGUGUAGCGGUGAAAUGCUUAGAUAUUACAUGGAAUACCAAUUGCGAAGGCAGGUUACUACUAAUGGAUUGACGCUGAUGGACGAAAGCGUGGGUAGCGAACAGGAUUAGAUACCCUGGUAGUCCACGCCGUAAACGAUGGAUACUAGCUGUUCGGUCUUCGGACUGAGUGGCUAAACGAAAGUGAUAAGUAUCCCACCUGGGGGAGUACGCA